rnacentral:rRNA from 1 species
UACGUAGGGGGCGAGCGUUGUCCGAAGUUACUGGGCGUAAAGAGCGCGUAGGCGGUUUCUUAAGUUUGGGGUGAAAGGUUCAGCGCUCAACGCGAACACUGCCUUGAAUACUGGGAGACUUGAGUUCGGGAGGGGGUAGCGGAAUUCCUGGUGUAGCGGUGAAAUGCGUAGAUAUCGGAAGGAACACCAGUGGCGAAAGCGGCUUCCUGGUCCAGCACCGACGUUCAGGCACGAAAGCGUGGGGAGCAAACAGG